CUCCGCUCUCCCGAUCUCUCUCGAUCUCAUCCCUAUCGAUCUCCUCUCUCUCGAUCUCUUCCCUCUCGAUCUCCUUCUUCUCGAUCUCUCUCUCUCACAUUCUUUCUUUCUCUCUCUGUCUCCCAUCUCACCUACCCUAAACCUUCAUAAGCCGCCGUAAACCAUCUGCGCCAGCCACAAGCCGCCAUCCACAAAGCAUCACCAGCUGCGACUUUGUUUGUUCUUCAUUUGUAGGGAGGCGUUGAAGUGUGAACUAUCUCAAAAAAUUAUUGGGUGCAAACCAAAAACAUGCAGGCUCAAUUGUGUACUCCUUUGCUUCAAUCAAUCUGCCCAAACAGGUCUAAUGGACUACGCUUUUUAGCCGUAUAGAAGUCAAAAACUAACAAACCGAUAGUUUCCCCGGAAACUCACACCAUGGAAGUUUUGAUUUAUAUAGAUCGGGCAUACAUUCUUUGAGGAGCAAGACUGAGCUAACUAUUCUGGGAUUAGUUGGUU
rnacentral:sRNA from 1 species